UCAUUUUGGUUGACAGUUGCCUGUUGGUUUUCGCGAACAUACUUAUUUAUAGAUGCGUUACGAUCAUGAACAAAUCUAACUUUGAUAUUAUUUCUGGAAAAUUUACUGUAGAUUUUCUUUGUUCCAGUUAACUCGUGCCGCUGAGCACAAGGGUCAUCUGCACGGCGAAUAAUCUCAUUCACUACCACUUUGCGAGUUUUUAUAACCCAUGCAAAUAACAUCUGUAUAUUUAGAAUGUUUCCUUGUGGAAUGCCGAACGUCUGUAAUAAUGUCAAUUGUAUCACUGCUGUUUAGUUCCUGUGUAAGAGCUGUAGCGCUAGGUGCAGCUCUUUCAGAUUCAAUAUACAGACUGAAAUCAUUCAUGUACUCAUUUGUUUUUCUAGGUGAUGAAGCUCCUAUACCAAUAGUAUCAUUUAAGCGAUUCAUUUUUGAUGGCAAAAUACCACUGGUAAUAAACCCAUGUAAAAGAUGAAGAGUCACCAAGUUCUGUUUGGAAGGUCUAGCGAUGCUUUCCACAUAUACUUUGAAAGGCAUUGCUUACAUGAAAUUUUAUAAAGAAUACCAUGUCCAUUUUUAUUUGCAACUGUUAUGGAUAAUUCACAUGAACAAAGUAAAGUGUGAUGCUUGGUUAUUUUCAAGAGACUCAUAAGAGCUGUCUCACUUGUAACUAUUAUAUCCUCCCCUGUUCUCGAUAAUGAACAGCUUUGGUCAAGUUCAAAGUUUGUUCCUUCCAUGCGUUGCAUGUACUGAGGUACUGUCAAAUUUUAAAUAUUUAGGAAAUUACAUUUUUUAACUCCUGAACGAAGUGCACAUUGAAUAUCACAAAGAUUUGUCUUCAGUUUAUUAAAUUCCAUGAUAUCUCCAUAUAGACUUAGGCUGAAUUUUCGCUUGCGUUCCAUUUUAUACUAAAUAUAACACACCACUUCUUAUUGCUACCUAAGUAAAUAUACAAUGGUAAACAUUUGUUUAUACACAACAUAUAACGGUAUAUAUCACUGUACACAUGUGUACAUGUGUUGAAAUAUUUUACAAGUAGAAAUGGCUAAUAAACAAAUUUUCAUGGAAGUUACGGCUGAGCAGGAAGAAGAGAUUUUAGACUUCAUUAAUCCUAAAAAUUGGGAUAUACGAGUAACACUUCAUGAUCAGCAUACUGAUGCAGGUAAUACGGAUGGGAACAAUGAUGAUGUCCGUCCAAUGGAAAGACAUUUAGCUAAUGAAGAGGAAUGUCCCUACUGCCUUUGCGCACCAUGCGUCACAAAUGAACGCAAUAAGCAAAUCUGGUGACCGGACAGUUACAGUCCUCCAGAUUCUAGGAAUUCUUGCUUAAGAAAGCCAAUUUAUCAGCGCUUUUGGGGAAUGCUGUACAACUGCGGCGCAUGGGCGGACCCAAGAUAUCUCCAUAAGAAAUCCACUGACCGAAAGGGAGACAUCACAUGGCACAGACGAGAACUUAUGCCACAGUGUGUUAUUGAACGUUGCAGAGAAUGGUUCCCAAAUUAACCAAAACAGCCAUAUAUGGGCCACAAGUAGAACUGACAGUUCAAUAAAUGAUAUACAUUGUAACACAAUAAAUUCAGAAAAUAUUUAUCUUAUCUCUUAUGAGGUAUUGUAUAUAGGAAUACCCUGUGUCUUGGCCUCAAUUUAUACCCUCACUCUAUUUUAACAGGUGUUACUGUUCAUAGUCAGGAUUUUCAUGCUUUUUCAGUGACAGUUUAAGGUUAAAAGGUAGGACGGGAGCAGGGCUUUUAUAAGCCAUAUGCUAAAUUAUAUUAUUGUGUAACAGGCACUUUUAAAACAGGCUCCAAUUAUUAAGUUUCACUAAAAUAGCUUUGCCUAGGAAAACAUUUACUGUAAAUCUGGACAUUAGAAUUAAUUAACUCAAUCAAGAUCAAAUUCUGCAAGUGGCAUGGGACUGAUCUGAAACCAAGGAAUUUGCAAAACAUAAUGCAAUGGCUUAAAUAUUAGGCAUAUUAUAUAGAGCUUCAUAUCUGCAAAGGUCAUUAUGCAUACUAGUAGUGCCUAAAAUGGUUGUACACCAAAACAACAACAAAAAGAAAAAGAAGAGGGAAAGUGACUUGUAUAUAUUCAUGACUGAGCUAAAUUCAACAUUUUCCUAUGUAACUUGUGCAGUUAAAAGCUUUAUAUAAAUUUGAACCUUG